UACAGAGGUCUCAAGCGUUGUUCGGAUUCAUUGGGCGUAAAGGGUGCGUAGGUGGCGCCGUAAGUCGGGUGUGAAAUUUCGGAGCUUAACUCCGAAACUGCAUUCGAUACUGCGGUGCUUGAGGACUGGAGAGGAGACUGGAAUUUAUGGUGUAGCAGUGAAAUGCGUAGAGAUCAUAAGGAAGACCAGUGGCGAAGGCGAGUCUCUGGACAGCAACUGACGCUGAGGCACGAAGGCCAGGGGAGCAAACGGG
rnacentral:rRNA from 1 species